CCCCUAAGGCGAGGCCGAAAGGCGUAGUCGAUGGGAAACAGGUUAAUAUUCCUGUACUUGGUGUUACUGCGAAGGGGGGACGGAGAAGGCUAUGUUGGUCGGGCGACGGUUGUCCCGGUUUAAGCGUGUAGGCUGGUUUUCCAGGCAAAUCCGGAAAAUCAAGGCUGAGGCGUGAUGACGAGGCACUACGGUGCUGAAGCAACAAAUGCCC
rnacentral:rRNA from 1 species